CUACGUGCCAGCAGCCGCGGUAAUACGUAGGUCCCGAGCGUUGUCCGGAUUUAUUGGGCGUAAAGCGAGCGCAGGCGGUUAGAUAAGUCUGAAGUUAAAGGCUGUGGCUUAACCAUAGUACGCUUUGGAAACUGUUUAACUUGAGUGCAAGAGGGGAGAGUGGAAUUCCAUGUGUAGCGGUGAAAUGCGUAGAUAUAUGGAGGAACACCGGUGGCGAAAGCGGCUCUCUGGCUUGUAACUGACGCUGAGGCUCGAAAGCGUGGGGAGCAAACAGGAUUAGAUACCCUGGUAGUCCACGCCGUAAACGAUGAGCACUAGGUGUCGGGGUCGCAAGACUUCGGUGCCGCAGUUAACGCAUUAAGUGCUCCGCCUGGGGAGUACGCACGCAAGUGUAAAACUCAAAGGAAUUGACGGGGACCCGCACAAGCAGCGGAGCAUGUGGUUUAAUUCGAAGCAACGCGAAGAACCUUACCAGGACUUGACAUC
rnacentral:rRNA from 1 species